UGGAUGCAAUACCUAUGCAAGAUUGUUUUAAUGUUCAAGAGGGAUGCUGUACAGUUUAAGCCUGCUUUCUGUCUUCCCAUUUUACAGAAUCUCUGGAGGUGGUCACUCAAGUAAACUGCUUAGACACCAUGUGUGAGUACCUGGAGUCUACUUUUCUCUAAUGAACUGAGUCUAACAUGAAGAGAGUAUCACAGAUAAAUUUCCUGCUGUCAGUAGCACACCAGAGAAGAUUAAUAAGAGAUGAAAGAAUAACUCCUCCUCACAAGAAACAGCAGAUGUAAUUUGGUGCUUGCAGCAAGGAGAUGAGACUGACAGAUGAUGCACUCAUAUUUACAGAGUGUGGUUCCAUUGUCCUGACACCUAGCAUGAUCUUCAUUCACAACGAGUUUGAUAUCUGCUAUGAAAUGCCUAUGAGUAAGUGCUGAAUGUUCAGCAUUUCAGAAGGAAAAUAUUUUCAUUGAAGCAGAUGUUUCUCAGAUUCUUCAGGAGCCUAAAACAUUUCCUGAAAGUGUUGCUACUCUCCACAGGGAAAGACAGAACAGAUCUUCAUUUGGAAAUGAAGCAUCUCGUGAUGAAAAAAAUUUCGACUGCUUCAGAGGAAGACAAAAGGCAUGAACAUAUGAAGAGGAAUGCUGAAGAAAGAUGGACCACAAAGAUUUGUGAUUAUUUCCAGAAUGUUAUGUCACAAGUGACAAAAACUUAGCAGUCUAUCAGUUCGGUUCUCUGAUAUGAUCAUGUGAAAAGAAAUAUAAAAAAAUAGGCCCUAGUAAAGCAAUUUACAGCUACAGAAAACCCCAGCUGAAUGCUCUGAUUGUUAAUGUGUUUGUACCUUUACAAAUUUUAAUUGGAUAAUCUAUCAUCAAAACUUUAUUCCAUGUAUGGCAGCAACCGUAAAAUUAAAGGUAAAGGUUUCAAGGAUGUGAAACUGAAUUUCUAGAAGACAAACUGCUUUUGAUGUGAGGUAUAUGUGUGUGUCCUUUUGUUGCUCAGCUCACUGUCAUUCAUGUCAAGGAAAUACUUUUUGUUUGAAGUUAUAAUAAACAUUUCACAUCUUUUCAUGUCAUGUACUUGUA